rnacentral:pre_miRNA from 13 species
CCUUCCGGCAUCCCAGGCGGGGCGCCGCGGGACCGCCCUCGUGUCUGUGGCGGUGGGAUCCCGCGGCCGUGUUUUCCUGGUGGCCCGGCAUGC